GGGCCACGCAUUGUGCUGAGCUGUCUUCGAGGACAACAGACGUUAGACUUACACCGUCGUAAGGAACAGGUUCCCGCCAAGGAAAAGUUUCUUUGUUCUGAAACCAUGUAGAACUUGAAAGGUACAUCAGAAAUCCUCUAUCCGUUCCAAUCUUCGUCUGGUGCUGAUACUGACGGAACCAAGUACAUGUAGAUGGGAAAUCUGAAUCAUGCAACGAAUUGUAGAAAGACAUCAUCCUUAUGCAACUCGGGUCUUCAAGUGGGAGACUGGUUGCUGUACAAGUAGCUCCGUGAAACGGUGGAAGAUACAGGAGACAGAUACACAUGAAUCAUCAUCAUCAUCAUCAUCAUCAUCAUCAUCAUCAUCAUCAUCAGUUUCAACACCAUAGUUCAGCGACUUACUUUAUCUUAUAAAAGGAACCGUAAAUCAAAACAAACGCCAAAUCUUCAAGAUUCUCCAGCAUGUUCGAGGCUCUAUCAUUCAGAAUUAGAUUCUACUGCAGUACAUCAGUAUUCCAGCUUGUCGGAUGUAAUAAAAGACCAGAAGGGAUAACGGAGGACAGUCAUUGGACCUCCAAACGCUAUCGUGUUUUGUUGAAUAUAUUUUUUUUCUAAAUUGGAGUCGCCUAAAUUCUGUUUGCUUGAUACUUGGACAUAACAUACACUCGUCCUUGGAAAAAACUUCUUUGAACUUAUUAAACUAAUCAGACUUUAGUGUAAAUUUAUUGUCAGUGUCCCUUAAAUUCUGACUACUGGACUUUAACAUUUUUCUAAAAAACAUGUAUCAAAUAUAAUUAUUUUGAUUUUUAUAAAUAA